GAGUUUGAUCUUGGCUCAGAACGAACGCUGGCGGCAUGCCUAACACAUGCAAGUCGAACGAGACCUUCGGGUCUAGUGGCGCACGGGUGCGUAACGCGUGGGAAUCUGCCCUUGGGUUCGGGAAUAAACAGUUAGAAAUGACUGCUAAUACCGGAUGAUGUCUUCGGACCAAAGAAUUUAUUCGCCCCAGGGAUGAGCCCGCGUAGGAUUAGCUUGUUGGUGAGGUAAGAGCUCACCAAGGCGACGAUCCUUAGCUGGUCUGAGAGGAUGAUCAGCCACACUGGGACUGAGACACGGCCCAGACUCCUACGGGAGGCAGCAGGUGGGGAAUAUUGGACAA
rnacentral:rRNA from 1 species